GACGAACGCUGGCGGCGUGCCUAAUACAUGCAAGUCGAGCGAAUGGAUUAAGAGCUUGCUCUUAUGAAGUUAGCGGCGGACGGGUGAGUAACACGUGGGUAACCUGCCCAUAAGACUGGGAUAACUCCGGGAAACCGGGGCUAAUACCGGAUAACAUUUUGAACCGCAUGGUUCGAAAUUGAAAGGCGGCUUCGGCUGUCACUUAUGGAUGGACCCGCGUCGCAUUAGCUAGUUGGUGAGGUAACGGCUCACCAAGGCAACGAUGCGUAGCCGAGCUGGGAGGGUGAUCGGCCACACUGGGACUGAGAAACGGCCCAGACUCCUACGGGAGGCAGCAGUAGGGAAUCUUCCGCAAUGGACGAAAGUCUGACGGAGCAACGCCGCGUGAGUGAUGAAGGCUUUCGGGUCGUAAAACUCUGUUGUUAGGGAAGAACAAGUGCUAGUUGAAUAAGCUGGCACCUUGACGGUACCUAACCAGAAAGCCACGGCUAACUACGUGCCAGCCGCCGCGGUAA
rnacentral:rRNA from 1 species